ACACAAUACUAAAUUUGUCUGUGGUCUUUAUCGAUUCUUCAUGAAGACAUGACAAUGUUUUUUUCCCUCCUAGAUUGUUCUGAUCCAAGUUGUUAUGACUUGCCUAUUAAUACUUACAACAAGUUUAUAAACAUUUUUUUCCCGGGUUUUAAGCUUCAUACACAAAAUAAUUUCACUUUAAUUAAAUUGAGUUCGUUGAUAUUUAUAAAUUGUUUUAUGUACUUCUCACUUUUGGAUUUUGCAGGGGUAUGCAUACAUAUUGACUCAUCCGGGAAUACCAACAGUUUUUUAUGACCACUUAUAUGACUGGGGCGACUCAAUUCGAGAACAGAUUGUGAAGUUGAUUGAAGUUCGCAAGCGUGAAGGUAUUCAUAGUAGAUCACCUAUUAAGAUUCUGGAGGCCAAGCACAACCUUUACUCUGCAAUCAUUGGGGGAAAUGUGUGCGUGAAGAUUGGAAAUGGUUCAUGGUGUCCAUCCGGGAGGGAAUGGACAUUAUCAACUAGUGGCCACAAUUAUGUUGUUUGGCACAAGUAGUGUUCCAUUGGCAUAACCCUUCUCCACCGGGAGCACACAAAAUUGAAGGAAAUUUAUGUUAUUUUUAUGUUAAUAUUUAUAAUACUAGGUAAAAUUGAAGUUCAAUCUUUCAUCUAGUUGCCUUUGGGUGCUUUUAUCUUCAACCUAUGUUUAGCCCAUUUCAAUUGUGGUCGCUUUUCAUACAUGUAUUGUGUAAUCAUACUCUGAUUAUGUAAUAUUAUCAAUAAGCAACUUUGUUUAUGUUAUAAACCAAU